rnacentral:rRNA from 1 species
AUUGAACGCUGGCGGCAGGCCUAACACAUGCAAGUCGAACGGUAGCACAGAGGAGCUUGCUCCUCGGGUGACGAGUGGCGGACGGGUGAGUAAUGUCUGGGGAUCUGCCCGAUAGAGGGGGAUAACCACUGGAAACGGUGGCUAAUACCGCAUAACGUCGCAAGACCAAAGAGGGGGACCUUCGGGCCUCUCACUAUCGGAUGAACCCAGAUGGGAUUAGCUAGUAGGCGGGGUAACGGCCCACCUAGGCGACGAUCCCUAGCUGGUCUGAGGGGAUGACCAGCCACACGGGAACUGGGACACGGUCCAGACUCCUACGGGAGGCAGCAGUGGGGAAUAUUGCACAAUGGGCGCAAGCCUGAUGCAGCCAUGCCGCGUGUAUGAAGAAGGCCUUCGGGUUGUAAAGUACUUUCAGCGGGGAGGAAGGCGAUGUGGUUAAUAACCGCGUCGAUUGACGUUACCCGCAGAAGAAGCACCGGCUAACUCCGUGCCAGCCGCCGCGGUAA